CCUUUUCAUUUUCAUUUAAAUGUUUCUUUUAAUCAGGACCAUCGAUCAAUAUUUGAUCAACGGCCCAAAUUAAAUCUCCCACCUUUAAUUCCAUCAAAUCCCCAAAACAUAGAAACCUUAGAGCCCUAAUAGACUCACCUCUCCCAUCGCCGCCUGCUCCCAUCUUCUCCUCUCUUCUUUUUCCUCCUUCCCCAUGCCAAAGGAUACCAUGGCAGACGAAGCCCAUAUCCCUCUCGUCCUUUCCUCACUAUUCACAACGUCACCAUGGUACUCGAAGCCAUGGAAAAGCUUCCACUCCGCCGAAUCCUCAACGAUUUCGAAUCUAGGGAAUCAAAGUUGAAAUCGAUUCAAACACUCAUGGACCCAUUUCGUUGCUCAAAAUCAGGUAAACUCGCUUCCCUUUUCUCUUUUGCUUUUUAAUGUUUUUAGCCUGAAAAUGUUACUCAUUGUCGUUAUGUUACUCAUUGUCGUUCUUAUUUUAUCAUUUUAUACGGUUGAAAUCCCCACUGUAAUAUGUGUUAUUCGUUGAGACGGUUGAAAUCCCGACUGAAAUAUAUAUUAUUUUCUGAUUUAGUUAGCCCUGAUCGAAGAAUGUGAUUUGCUUUUUUCUGUUAUUGUAUAUUCUGUCACUCUAUGUUAGUUUAGUUGGUUUUAUUUUCGAGAUUGAAGGAGGGGCAUAUUAAUUUCAGUUUGGGUCUUAGUUUAGAUUUAGUCACUUUCUUUUGUUUAUUCUGAUUUGCUUCAUUUCGGAUGGAUAAUAAUUAAGAAUUUAGAAAGUUUUCUGAGUUGAAUAUGCUACGGUUCUAUUUUGUUAAGUUUCUGUCUGGGGGAUGAUCACGUCUUCGUUUUAGUUGUAAGUUUCGUAAAGUUUGCGAUUAUGAUUUUUGGGCCAAGAAUGGGCUGCUUUUCUUCAGUUUUUCUCUUUAGAUCAACUUCGAAAUUUAUUCGUUUUCUCGUUAAAAAAUCUAUCCAGAUUUACUUCAACUUGUUUAAGUUUAAUUAGAAUCCAAAUUUUCCUACUGGUUUAGUUUGUUAAAUAUAUAUAUGUGUGUUUGGUUGAGGUCAUAACUUGUUUUAGUUCAGGUCAUAACUUGUUUAAGGUUUUUAAGAAAUGUUCAUGGACAGUAUGAACAAUCACAAGCUUCAGUUUGUCUAAAGUGGCUUACUUUCAAUGGGUUUCCAAGGCGGGUUUUAAAAUAGUCGACUUUAGUUCAGUUUUUGAUUAAUUAGUCGUUUCCCUCUCACCUCUCAUUAGUAGAGUUUAAAUGUUUGGAGAUUAUGAAAAUCAACGAGUACAGUAGUUUACGUUUGAAGAUCUAGUUUAAAGCUAGGUUCGAGAUUCGCUUAAGUUUGAGUCUAAAAUUUAGUUCUAGAUUAAGCGUUGAUGUAUUGGUAGCGUAGUUUUCUCUCGUCUUUUCCUUUUACUAUUAAGUCCAAGUCCGUUCGCUCUUUACUUGUUUGUUUAUGAGUCCUUGUCCCUAUUUUAGGUACUUACUUCGUUAAAAAACAUAGAGUAAGAAUUCCAUUCUAGACUAGUUCAUUUUUUUUCUUUCUCUAAGAAAAAUUUAAGAUGUUCGCCCUAUUUCUUACCAUUAACUUGAAUACCUUCAGGAGUAGCUAACCACUUGUAAAUGUUUCUUGUUCUUGAAUUGGUUUUGAUAUCCUUUAUUUCCUUUAGCAUAGAAAAUAUCUUGGCUGUGAAUUGUCACUCAAAAUGGACUAAGAAUAUAGCUAAUACCUGGUUGUAUGUUUUUCCCAAAAUGAUGAGGAAACAGUUCAUUUUCUUAUCCUUUUUUUUGUUCUACUUGUUUAAGGAUUCUGGAAAUUACAUGUUCAAUUUGUUAAUGGAAAUCUUCUUUAUAAAAGUUGGGUUUAUGAAAAUGAGUUGGCAUGAUUAUUUAAAAAAAAAAAAAAAAAACAAGUCAUUUGCCAAAAAAACUAACUACCAUAACAAAGUUUGGUUUAAGCUUCUUGUCUGAUAUUUUUAUAACAUGGAUACGUACCUACUGAUCUAUGAACUUAGUAGCAAUACUAAAAUCCUACAGUGUUUAAGAUGUUAAAUUUCCACCCAGUUUUUGUUCUCCUCACUCGAGACUAGUUCACUGUUUGCAAUUAAGUGUUUGAUUUUUUUUUAUUUUUUAUUUUUUAAAAAAACUUUGAUUUUAUCCUUUCCUUUACUCUUGCUGAUCUCUUGUUAUUGUAUCUGCAUGAUAUACAUAUGGAGUUCGAUUGACCGCCUCCUAUUCUAAGUUGGGCUAAAAUCCCAACACAAAAUCCUUGCGUAUUUUCAUCGAGUCCGAACAGCAGCAACAAUUAACGUAAAACUUUGGUCUAUCCAAAAGCCAAGUGAGGUAGAGAAGCAGCAGCGGCAGCAUGAUGAAAGAAAUUGCAAAUCUCGGGCUGAAGUUUGAAGAGGACCUAGGUCAGGGCUUUAUUUUAGACUCUCGGAUUAAGCCCGAGUCUUAGAAUGAUUUUUAUCGGGAUUGAGGCCCAAUUCUCUACUCUCUUUAAAGAUUUCUGCAUUUACUUACCCUUUUGGUGUAAACACUUUGAAAACUAAAUAAAGCCCCAGAAGGCAUCUAAAAUA